CAGCUAAUUGCGCGUCAACUUGUGAACUGCAGGACACAUGAACAUCGACAUUUCGAACGCACAUUGCAGUCCUCGGAUACUCGUUCCCGGACUACUCCUGGCUGAGGGUCGUAU
rnacentral:rRNA from 1 species